AACUAGAGGCUCUAAAGAGCCUGUGUCGCUCACCUUGGUCUAUGUGCAUAUUAAACAAAGUACACAAAUGGAUUCAUGACAAAAUUGUAUUUUGGUGAUGGUGAUGUGUUUGAAGUUCUUACUUUACUGAACAUUCUUGCUUCUUACAAUUAUAUCUAUAAUGAACUUUGAACAUUAGUAACAGAGAAAAAUAUUUGGUAAAAAUUUACAUAAAUUUACCAAAUUAAUGAAAAUUGUUAAAAAUUGACUAUAAAGGGCAAUAACUCCUUAAGGGUCAAUUGACCAUUUAGGUCAUGUGGACUUAUUUGUA
rnacentral:lncRNA from 1 species